rnacentral:misc_RNA from 1 species
GAAAUGCGAUAAGUAGUGUGAAUUGCAGAAUUCAGUGAAUCAUCGAAUCUUUGAACGCACAUUGCGCCCCUUGGUAUUCCAUGGGGCAUGCCUGUUCGAGCGUCAUUUGUACCCUCAAGCUCUGCUUGGUGUUGGGUGUUUGUCCCGUCUCCGCGCGUGGACUCGCCCCAAAGUGAUUGGCAGCCGGCGUACUGGUCCCGGAGCGCAGCACAUGUCGCGCAAACGAGUGCCUUGGUACGGCGGCGUCAUAAGCCCCUCUCUCACGCUCUUGACCUCGGAUCAGGUAGGGAUACCCGCUGAACUUAAGC